rnacentral:rRNA from 1 species
UACGUAGGGGGCUAGCGUUGUCCGGAAUCAUUGGGCGUAAAGAGCGUGUAGGCGGUCCGGUAAGUCCGCUGUGAAAGUCGGGGGCUCAACCUUUGAAAGCCGGUGGAUACUGUGGGGCUAGAGUCCGGAAGAGGCGAGUGGAAUUCCUGGUGUAGCGGUGGAAUGCGCAGAUAUCAGGAGGAACACCAAUAGCGAAGGCAGCUCGCUGGGACGGUACUGACGCUAAGGCGCGAAAGCGUGGGGAGCGAACAGGA